rnacentral:rRNA from 1 species
AUUGAACGCUGGCGGCAGGCCUAACACAUGCAAGUCGAACGAGUGGCGGACGGGUGAGUAAUGUCUGGGAAACUGCCUGAUGGAGGGGGAUAACUACUGGAAACGGUAGCUAAUACAGCAUACCAUCGGAUGUGCCCAGAUGGGAUUAGCUAGUAGGUGGGGUAAAGGCUAACCUAGGCGACGAUCCCUAGCUGGUCUGAGAGGCUGACCAGCCACACUGGAACUUAGCCCAGGGCCAGACUCCUACGGGAGGCAGCGGUGGGGAAUAUUGCACAAGGGGCGAAAGCCUGAUACAGCAAGGCCGCGUGUAGGAAGAAGGCCUUCGGUUUGUAAAGUACUUUCAGCGGGGAGGCGUUACCCGAAGAAGAAGCACCGGCUAACUCCGUGCCAGCAGCCGCGGUAAUAC